rnacentral:tRNA from 1 species
GCUGAAGUAGCUCAAUGGUAGAGCAACGCAUUCGUAAUGCGUAGGUUGUGGGUUCAAGUCCCGUCUUCAGCA